CGGCAGCCCCACAACCCCUACCACAAUCACGCAACCUACAACUGCAUCCACCACGACAUCCAACACUGCGACUUCUGCCAACACCGCGACCUCCAUCAGCCCCACAACCAUCAACACUGUGACCUCAGGCACGAUUGUCACCUCCACCAGCCCCACAACCUCCAACACUGUGACCUCAGGAACGAUUGUCACCUCCACCAGCCCCACAACCUCCAACACUGUGACUUCCGGCAGCCCCACAACACCUACCACAAUCACCCAACCAACAACUGCCUCCACCACAACCUCCAACACCGCAACUUCUACCGACACUGAGACAACCAUCAGCCCCACAACCUCCAACACUGCAACUUCUGGCAGUCCCACAACCCCUACCACAAUCACCCAACCCACAACGGCCUCAACAACCUCCAGCACCGCGACUUCUGCCGACACUGCGACAACCAUCCGCCACACAACCUCCAGCACCGCGACUUCGGCCAACACUGCGACAACCAUCAGCCCCACAACCUCCAACACCGCGACUUCGGCCAACACUGCGACAACCAUCAGCCCCACAACCUCCAACACCGCGACUUCGGCCAACGCUGCGACAUCCACCGGCACCACAACCUCCAACACCGCGACUUCUGCCAACACCGCGACCUCCACCGGCACCACAACCUCCAACACUGUGACUACCACCAGCCCCACAACCACCACCACAACCACCCAACCUUCAACCGCCUCCACCGCAACCUCCAACACUGCAACUUCUGCCAACACCGUAACAUCCAUCAGCCCCACAACCUCCAACAUUGUGACCUCAGGCACGACUGUGCCCUCCACCAGCCGCACAACCUUCUCAGCAACCACCCAACCCACAACUGCCUCCACCGCAACCUACAACACUGCGACUUCUGCCGACACUGCGACAACCAUCAGACCCACAACCUCCAACACUGCGACUUCUGCCAACACCGGGACCUCCAUCAGCCCCACAAGCUCCAACACUGUGACUUCCGGCAGCCCCACAACCUCCGCCACAACCACCCAACCUACAACUGCCUCCACCACAACCUCCAACACCGCGACUUCUGCCAACACCGCGACCUCCAUCAGCACCACAACCUCCAACAC
rnacentral:lncRNA from 1 species